rnacentral:tRNA from 1 species
GGAGAGGUGGCUGAGCGGCUGAAAGCAGCACACUGCUAAUGUGUUAAGGGGGAAACCCCUUCCAGGGUUCGAAUCCCUGCCUCUCCG